CGCGUGCAUGGCUCCCCUCAGCAGAGCGUUCUCGGUCCGAGACCCCCUGACGGGGGCGUGCUUCACAACUGGCCAGGGUCCCGGGUUGCCACACCUUCGCGGCUACUGUUCCUGUCCUGCAGCAGCCCGACCCAGCGCUCCUCUCUGAAGGCGGCUGGGAAAUCUGAGAAACGUAUUGAGCGCCUGCUGUGUGCCUCUCACUCUGUGUUUCUCAGUAUGCAAAUAGUUGGAAUGACCAGCAAGACAUAGUACCAGACAAGAAAAAGCUUUUAGACUUUACAGCCUGAGACCACAAGGGACAGUCUUUAGACAAGGAAAAUUGAGGAAGAAAGAGAAGUCUUAAUUAACAAAGAAGAUGCAUUCUGAAGCCAUGGUCUGCAUCAGACACAGCUCUGCUUUCUGACAUCUUACCAUGUGCAGCUACGCCCCUUGGCAGUGGUCUGGAACCUGAAAUAUCUCUGUGGAAUACCCAUAUAAAAUUUGAUGAGUCUGAACAUAUGCAAACACC